ACAGUCCACAUACAAAGAAUUAGGUGGAAUGGUGCUUUCUCCAUCAGGGCCUACAGUGGGAUCCAGAUAGGGCUCAGCAGAGCGGUGCCAGACAAGGCAAGUCUGUCAUUGUUUAUGGCCAUAGCAAAGUGGGAACACAGUCAGUUGGUUGCUUUCCAGGAAUUGGCUGGAAGACUUAUGACUGGCAGCUAAGGGAAUGCAGGACAAAGCAUGAGCCCAUCACCACUGAGCUCUCAGGAAACUCUGAAUCUCAUUUGUUUGCUACUCCUGAUCUAAGCCAUGGUUAUUUAAAAGAAUCUUCUUUCGAUUCCUUUAAAGUCUUUUGCAUAUGAGUUGGUUCCUCAGUCAAACAGCAAGAAAGCAGGGCACUGCAUAUCAGGAGAGAGCCGGCGGUGGCCGGGGUGGGAAUGAAACCAGCAGGAUUCAGAGUUGCUUCUCAAAUGAAGAAUUGGAGUAGAGCUGAAAGCAGAAUGUGACUGAAGGGCCCAUCUAGGACAAAUCACUGAGGAAUAUCAAACACCACAAUGGAAAAGAAAGACAAAAGUGGAUCCUCAGUUGAAUGUUAACAUUUUGGAUUGGAAGGCUGGCUUGCAGAUGCGGCCCUGCGUACUCCUUCCAGAGUCGAAUGUCUGCUCAUUGUGGUGAAAGGAAGGAAAGGAAAAUCACAAAGGAGAAUCCAGAUGGUGUGUUUUUAGAUAUCUACUGGAAAUGUUUAGGCUUGCUGAGUACUGUAAUAUAUCCCUGGAACAAGAUACCCAGGACAACAAAUUUCAGGGGGGACAUGGAUCUUCAAGCCCUUUUUUUGCAACUUUGAAACUGUAAUCCCUAACUCUCUGUAACUUGUCUGCCCCAGAUGAUGGUGGAGUGACAAAAGAUGAGAACCUGAUGAUCGACUUCCACCAUUCAGUUAUUUCUCCUCUCACAUGUUGUUUUAGCAGGACAUGCGGGCACUGAACUAACAGGACUAUCUUGAAUUUUCAUAUUUAAAAUCUGACAGCUGAAACAUGAGGGACUUUUAUCAGUGCGUAACCACUGCACAACCACGGUAAUGCAGAAAAAAAAAAGAGAGAAGAAAAGAUUUUAAUGUCUGUUGAUAACAGCCAAAGAUUCAUCUCCCUGUACUGCCUUGAAUUUGUUUGGUUUUUUUUUUUUACA